UACGAAGGGGGCUAGCGUUGUUCGGAUUUACUGGGCGUAAAGCGCACGUAGGCGGAUCGUUAAGUCGGGGGUGAAAGCCCAGGGCUCAACCCUGGAAUUGCCUUCGAUACUGUUUGGCUAGAGACCGGAAGAGGUAAGUGGAACUGCGAGUGUAGAGGUGAAAUUCGUAGAUAUUCGCAAGAACACCAGUGGCGAAGGCGGCUUACUGGUCCGGUUCUGACGCUGAGGCGCGAAAGCGUGGGGAGCAAACAGG
rnacentral:rRNA from 1 species